rnacentral:rRNA from 1 species
AUUGAACGCUGGCGGCAGGCCUAACACAUGCAAGUCGAGCGAGCGGCGGACGUGUGGGUAAUGUAUGGGGACUGCCUGAUAGAGGGGGAUAACUACUGGAAACGGUUGCUAAUACCGCAUACUAUCGGAUAACCCAUAUGGGAUUAGCUAGUAGGUGGGGUAAAGGCUCACCUAGGCGACGAUCUCUAGCUGGUCUGAGAGGAUGAUCGGCCACACGGGGACUGAGACACGGCCCAGACUCUUACGGGGGCAGCAGUGGGGAAUAUUGCACAAUGGGGGAAAGCCGGAUGCAGCCAUGCGGCGGGUAGGAAGAAGGCCUUAGGGUUGUAAAGUACUUUCAGCGGGGAGGCGUUACCCGCAGAAGAAGCACCGGCUAACUCCGUGCCAGCAGCCGCGGUAAUUC